UACGUAGGGUGCGAGCGUUAAUCGGAAUUACUGGGCGUAAAGCGUGCGCAGGCGGUUCGUUGUGUCGGUGGUGAAAUCCCCGGGCUUAACCUGGGAAUGGCCAUGGAAACUGGCGAACUGGAGUGCGGCAGAGGGGGGUGGAAUUCCUGGUGUAGCGGUGGAAUGCGCAGAUAUCAGGAGGAACACCAAUAGCGAAGGCAGCUCGCUGGGACGGUACUGACGCUAAGGCGAAAGCGUGGGGAGCGAACAGGA
rnacentral:rRNA from 1 species